rnacentral:rRNA from 1 species
UACGUAGGUGGCAAGCGUUGUCCGGAAUUAUUGGGCGUAAAGCGCGCGCAGGCGGUCCUUUUAAGUCUGAUGUGAAAUCCCACGGCUCAACCGUGGAAGGUCAUUGGAAACUGGGGGGACUUGAGUACAGAAGAGGAAAGCGGAAUUCCAAGUGUAGCGGUGAAAUGCGUAGAGAUUUGGAGGAACACCAGUGGCGAAGGCGGCUU